rnacentral:rRNA from 1 species
UACGUAGGGUGCAAGCGUUAAUCGGAAUUACUGGGCGUAAAGCGUGCGCAGGCGGUUAUGUAAGACAGUUGUGAAAUCCCCGGGCUCAACCUGGGAAUGGCAUUUGGGACUGCAAGGCUAGAGUGUGGCAGAGGAGACUGGAAUUCCCGGUGUAGCAGUGAAAUGCGUAGAUAUCGGGAGGAAUACCGAUGGCGAAGGCAGGUCUCUGGGCUGACACUGACGCUCAUGCACGAAAGCGUGGGGAGCAAACAGG